rnacentral:ncRNA from 1 species
AGCAAAGCAUGGAUAGGGAAGAGUACAUGAGCAAUCCGCUUGAAGAGAGGAAGUCCAAUUGCUGGGAGGACUUCUAAGCCGGAACCAUGGAAGGUCGCCCUUGAGCAUCGCCUGGGAACGGAAUGACUCUCAGUAACAGGCGACGGUGAAGAGCCGUUAUCCAGAUUUGAGCCAGCGACAGAUGUUUUUACCGUUGCUGGAAAAAAAGGUGGUACCGCGAACAUACUCCAUUCGUCCUUUUA